rnacentral:Y_RNA from 1 species
GGCUGGUCUGAAGGUAGUGAGUUAUCUCACUUGAUUGUUCACAGUCAGUUACAGGUUAAACUUGCUCGACUACUUUCCCACUUUCUCACUACUGCACUUGACUAGUCUUGA